rnacentral:rRNA from 1 species
UUGCGGGAGCUUGCUCCCAAAAGUUAGCGGCGGACGGGUGAGUAACACGUGGGCAACCUGCCUAUAAGACUGGGAUAACUUCGGGAAACCGGAGCUAAUACCAGAUAAUUCUUUUCUACACAUGUAGAAAAGCUAAAAGACGGUUUACGCUGUCACUUAUAGAUGGGCCCGCGGCGCAUUAGCUAGUUGGUGAGGUAACGGCUCACCAAGGCCACGAUGCGUAGCCGACCUGAGAGGGUGAUCGGCCACACUGGGACUGAGACACGGCCCAGACUCCUACGGGAGGCAGCAGUAGGGAAUCUUCCGCAAUGGACGAAAGUCUGACAGAGCAACGCCGCGUGAGUGAUGAAGGUUUUCGGA